GUGAGCUGUGUGAUGGGAAAUCUUUUCGCAUGGUUCGGAGAGCAUUGAAUUAGAAUGAGAGGUUCACCUCCGUCAUUGGUGGUUCGCUGGUGGUGGCUGUCCAACAAGAAGAAAGAGUGAAAGAGAGGAGUGAGGAAGUCCUAAUUUUUCUGUUGAUUCUCU
rfam:Glycine max cultivar Williams 82 chromosome 3, whole genome shotgun sequence.